rnacentral:lncRNA from 1 species
AAACAUUGCUGCACGUUUACAGUUUGCACAAGAGUACCUGGAUGUUCCACAGCAGUACUGGCAAAAUAUUCUGUGGACAGAUGAAACCAGUUGAGUUGUUUGGAAGAAACACACAACACUAUGUGUGGCGAAAAAAAGGCACAGCACACCAACAUCAAAACCUCAUCCCAACUGUGAAGUAUGGUGGUGGGGGCUUCAUGGUGUGGGACUGCUUUGCUGCAUCAGGGCCUAGACGGAUUGCUAUCAUCGAAGGAAAAAUUAAUUCCCAAGUUUAUCAAGACAUUUUGCAGGAGAACUUAAG